UACGUAGGGUGCGAGCGUUGUCCGGAAUUAUUGGGCGUAAAGAGCUUGUAGGUGGCCUCAUAAGUCCGCUGUGAAAGUCAAAGGCUCAACCUUUGAAAGCCGGUGGAUACUGUGAGGCUAGAGUACGGAAGAGGCGAGUGGAAUUCCUGGUGUAGCGGUGGAAUGCGCAGAUAUCAGGAGGAACACCAAUAGCGAAGGCAGCUCGCUGGGACGUUACUGACACUGAGGCGCGAAAGCGUGGGGAGCGAACAGG
rnacentral:rRNA from 1 species